CGCAAGCCUGACGGAGCAACGCCGCGUGAGGGAUGAAGGCCUCUGGGCUGUAAACCUCUUUUAUCAAGGAAGAAGAACUGACGGUACUUGAUGAAUAAGCCACGGCUAAUUCCGUGCCAGCAGCCGCGGUAAUACGGGAGUGGCAAGCGUUAUCCGGAAUUAUUGGGCGUAAAGCGUCCGCAGGCGGUUUUACAAGUCUGUCGUUAAAGCGUGGAGCUCAACUCCAUUUCAGCGAUGGAAACUGUAAGACUCGAGUGUGGUAGGGGCAGAGGGAAUUCCCGGUGUAGCGGUGAAAUGCGUAGAUAUCGGGAAGAACACCAGUGGCGAAAGCGCUCUGCUGGGCCAUAACUGACGCUCAUGGACGAAAGCCAGGGGAGCGAAAG
rnacentral:rRNA from 1 species